GCACCUCCAGUCUUCUUUUAGAUAGUAGACACAGAAAUGUUUAAUAAGCUGGAACUGGCUAAGAAGUGACUGUAGCAGGAGCUGCUGGCUGUUAACCAACAGUGAUUCUCCAUUAUUCCCAGAGAUAAGAAAAAUAACCCAGAUGAUGAUGGAAAAAGAAAAUGGAUAAGACUUGGAUUUCUGAAUGACCAUGUGGAACACAGCAGCCUGCCUACUUGUUCUGGAUUGAUUUGUGGAAUAGAAGUAAAUCAAUUUUAAAGCUACUCUAUUGUUAAGACUCACUGGGAUCACAUUUUAGCAGCUUUGCCUUUUUAUUAAAUGACAUUGGGCCUCUUCGGUAAACUCCUACUCCACUUUCACGUUCUCCUCCCAUCCUGGUACCUGCUCAUUCACUAGGCACCUGGGAAGCUACCUGAGUGAGUGUCUGUUCUGGAUUCUUUUCCUUAUGUUCUCUGCCUGUUUCUUUUCUUUUUUUUUUUUUUUUCCCAAGUCUCAAGUCUCAAUACACUUAUAUUUAGCUAUCUGGCUCUUUCAAAUGGCUCCGAUUAAUUCAGUCUUUUUUUUUUUUUUUUUAAAUGCUUAGAGACCACUUCUUCUCCUACAGGCCCUCAUUUCCCCUGAGAGUGGUGACUUAAUCUAAAUGAAUGGAUUUUUUUUUUUUUUUUUUUUUUUAUUGGCAGCUGAAGCCGAAGCCCACAGAUCAUGACACUAUCUGUCCAAUGUAUUAUAUAAAGCUAGGCAUCCUCUUCUGUAUGAAAAAGAACCUUUUUCCUUUCAGAUUCCCCGGCUAGAGCAGGGCUCAGUCUCCCCUAAAAGAGAAAGAAUUUUUAAAAAAAAGAGAAACUAGGGUUUUCGGCUUUUUUAUUUUUUCUUUGCCAUUAUUUCUCUGGUUUAAUAGAAAGUAUGAGAUCAUUCCAAUUUUUAAUCUGAAAAACAUAGGCUUAAUUUAUCAUUUCAAACAGUCAUAAAGUAAAUACCUAUUGGUUCCUAUCCACUAUCUGUAAGUAAAUUUAACUAAGGAGACUCUGCAACUUACCUUAGGUUUUAUAGUUUUCCAUUUUUUCAUUUCAACAAAUUUGAAGAUGAACGUUUCUAAGUACUGCCUUAGAUUUUUCAACUUAAUCUGUCUUUGUGAGUUUGGAAAUGAAAGAAAUUGUAGAUGGCUUGUUCAAAGAAAGUUCAUUUUCCCUCAACCUCCUGACUUAUAAACCAGAGAAUAGCAGGUGCUCAUUCCACAGGUCAUCCUGCGUGAAGCACUCUAGAGCUUUCCACAUCCCGAUGCAGCUCUUUAGGGGGACAUGAGGUAACUACUGGGUCAUGGUCAACAAACAAAGAGGAUUCAAAGAAUAGAACACCAGUGCUUUUGUUACAAUUUCAGUAGGUAUUGUUUUGUGAAGCUUUAGUUACAGUUGUUUAUGAAUGUGAGUAUGUGUGAAUAGUUGUUCUUGAUACAAAAUGUCUUACUAUUAAAAAUAAAGUCUUGAAAAACUUUG